AUGAGUGCUCUUUGUGCUUUCUUCUUAAUUUAGAGUCUUUAUUUUGGUAAAUAAAUUGUUAUUUUGGGGGAUUUUAUAAAUCUGAUUAUUUUGUUUUCAUAACUUAAUUAUGUUGGCGUUGAUAUAAUGGUCAAAACUAUGAAUAUAUACUAUGAAUAUAUUUAAAAUUUCGUUGGCUCUGAGUAGUCAAAAUGUGGUUCAGUUGCCGAUUUGGAUUCAAAUCAACGAGCCAUUUAGUUCUCUGUAAUCGCAUAACUCCUAAUAUGCCAAAGCUUUACCAUUAUGGCGAGAAAGAAAUGGCCGUAUAGCAUCUUCGUGGGCAUCACA